GACGAACCGUCCUAACGUUGUUCGGAAUCACUGGGCUUAAAGGGCUCGUAGGUGGCCAACUAAGUCAGACGUGAAAUCCCUCGGCUUAACCGGGGAACUGCGUCUGAUACUGGAUGGCUUGAGUUUGGGAGAGGGAUGCGGAAUUCCAGGUGUAGCGGUGAAAUGCGUAGAUAUCUGGAGGAACACCGGUGGCGAAGGCGGCAUCCUGGACCGGUAUUGACGCUGAUGCGCGAAAGCCAGGGGAGCAAAGCGGG
rnacentral:rRNA from 1 species